rnacentral:rRNA from 1 species
UACGGAGGGUGCAAGCAUUAAUCGGAAUUAUUGGGCGUAAAGGGCGCGUAGGCGGAGAUAAAAGUCAGAUGUGAAAUUCCGGGACUCAAUUUCGGAGCUGCAUUUGAGACUAUAUGACUAGAGGAUUGGCGGAGAAAACGGAAUUCCACGUGUAGCGGUGAAAUGCGUAGAUAUGUGGAAGAACACCUGUGGCGAAAGCGGUUUUCUAGCUAAUACCUGACGCUGAGGCGCGAGAGCAAGGGGAGCAAACAGG